rnacentral:rRNA from 1 species
GAUGAACGCUGGCGGCGUGCUUAACACAUGCAAGUCGUACGGUAAGGCCCUUUCGGGGGUACACGAGUGGCGAACGGGUGAGUAACACGUGAGUAACCUGCCCACAACUUUGGGAUAACGCUAGGAAACUGGUGCUAAUACUGGAUAUGUGCUCCUGCUGCAUGGUGGGGGUUGGAAAGCUCCGGCGGUUGUGGAUGGACUCGCGGCCUAUCAGCUUGUUGGUGGGGUAGUGGCCUACCAAGGCGGCGACGGGUAGCCGGCCUGAGAGGGUGACCGGCCACAUUGGGACUGAGAUACGGCCCAGACUCCUACGGGAGGCAGCAGUGGGGAAUAUUGCACAAUGGGCGCAAGCCUGAUGCAGCAACGCCGCGUGCGGGAGGACGGCCUUCGGGUUGUAAACCGCUUUCAGCAGGGACGAAGCUUUUUGUGACGGUACCUGCAGAAGAAGCACCGGCUAACUACGUG